rnacentral:rRNA from 1 species
GGAGGGUGCGAGCGUUAUCCGGAAUUACUGGGUUUAAAGGGUGCGUAGGCGGCUAAGUAAGUCAGGAGUGAAAGUUUGCGGCUCAACCGUAAAAUUGCUUUUGAUACUGCAUAGCUAGAAUUAGGAUGAGGUCAGCGGAAUGUGGCAUGUAGCGGUGAAAUGCAUAGAUAUGCCAUAGAACACCAAUUGCGAAGGCAGCUGGCUAGACCUGGAUUGACGCUGAGGCACGAAAGCGUGGGGAGCGAACAGGAUUAGAUACCCUGGUAGUCCACGCCCUAAACGAUGCUUACUCGACGUAUGGCCCUAGAGGUCGUGCGUCCAAGGGAAACCGUUAAGUAAGCCACCUGGGGAGUACGACCGCAAGGUUG